rnacentral:tRNA from 1 species
CCGGGGUGGCUCAGCCUGGUAGAGCGUCGGACUCAUAAUCCGAAGGUCGCGGGUUCAAACCCCGCCCCCGGCACCA